CCUGAAGCAACCCUUUCGAGUCUUGCUUGCACCCUGGCGUUUCGGGAAUUGGCAUUCAUGUUGCGACAGCAACAUCCUCGAGCUGCAUGAUGAAUAUGGCACUUGGGACGAGGCCUACAAACGGUGCUGCUCCCUUGGAAUGGACCUCCUUUCAGUCCACAAUCCAAACAAGCAAUACUGCUUGGGCAAUCCUUACA